CUGAGCUUAGACAUGAUUUUCACAAGUAGGUAAUGCAAUGGGUGAAAAGGCCUACAGAUUUUAUAUUUUUUAUAUUAGAAUACAAUAUUUUAUAUUAGAAAAAAUUAGGCCAAAGACUUAAGAUGGGCUUUUUGAUAUUGGCAAAUUAAUUACCAACACUUCAGCAACUGCAUAACAUUAUAAAUCUAUAAAUGCUUUUCCAGCAAAUAGGGAAGACAAAACUUUUGUCAGCUGUGCUGCUUUUAACACAGGAAACAAAAUGUGAAGUGUAAAUUACUGAGCAGCAGUCUAGUGUUUUAUACUGCGAUAAAGAGUUACAAAAGAUGAAGUCUGUCUUUAUGUCUCUUUUGUUGGUCAGUUGGUUAACUUUAGAGACAUGUCAAGAUGCGGAUUCAGAGGAUUAUACAGGAAGUGGUGACAAUGAGCAUGUAACGGCGAAAA